UGUUGGGAAAUGAGAGAGACAAGUUUUACAGCACACAUCGCGAGAUUUAGAGACAGCGCGACUUGAAAACAGCAACAAUAGAGAUUGGGGGUUGCAAGUAUUGUUUCGGAAGUGGUGCGUUGAUUCUGCAUUUUUCUGUCCAUCCCUGCACCCCCCAUGAGUUUUAUUGUUAAUUUUUUUUCUGACUUCUACAGACAGCUGUCCAGUACAUCUUGCUGUCAGAUUGACAAGACUAUGUUGGUAAUAAGUAAGUAAUGUCCGGUCCCACGACAAGUAACUACUGGGUUGUCAAUUUGCUUUGUUAAUUCUGAAACAAAAGCAGAAUAAGACAUAAACUGUGUCACAUUUGUUCAAAGCAGGAGAGACUAAUGUCCAGGUCUGAAUGACAAAUAUGCUAAGAAGGAGCUCUACCGCAGCCCAACACUGCUGAGUAUGUAGCUGAGGAGGGUGAUGAUUAAGCUGGGAGUUCCUUGUCAGGUAGUCUCCAGUCCUUACUGGCAGUUAGCCCAGUGCCAUUGCUCAACAUGGCCCAGCAGCAGCUGGUGCAAGUGGUGAAGUCUGCUAUGGUGACA